rnacentral:rRNA from 1 species
AUUGAACGCUGGCGGCGUGCUUUACACAUGCAAGUCGAACGGCAGCACAGACUUCGGUCUGGUGGCGAGUGGCGAACGGGUGAGUAAUACAUCGGAACGUACCUUUUAGUUGGGGAUAACGCAUCGAAAGAUGUGCUAAUACCGAAUAAUCUCUGAGGAGGAAAGGCGGGGAUCGGAAACGACCGGUCGCUGAAAGAGCGGCCGAUGGCCGAUUAGCUAGUUGGCGGGGUAAAGGCAUACCAAGGCGAUGAUCGGUAGCUGUUCUGAGAGGAAGAUCAGCCACACUGGGACUGGGAGACGGCCCAGACUCCUACGGGAGGAAGCAGUGGGGAAUUUUGGACAAUGGGGGCAACCCUGAUCCAGCAACGCCGCGUGAAUGAAGAAGGCCUUAGGGUUGUAAAGUUCUUUUGUCGCAGAGCAAAAUGCUUGUACUAAUACUAUGAGUAGAUGAGAGUAUGCGAAGAAUAAGCACCGGCUAACUACGUGCCAGCAGCCGCCGUAA